CUCAAAAGUUGUAUUGUGUUGUGUUUCUAACCGUCUUAUUUUCAAGAAAAGGCUAGAACACAUUAGAGCGUUGAUUCUAUAAUUAUAAGGUUCCACAUUUUGAGUAAAAUAUACAUCUCUUAUGUUGAAAAAGAGAAGCAAAUAUGACCCAGCUUGGAUUGACACUCGGAAAACAGGAAAAAAAAAAUCAGAAAACUCAUUUUUGCAUUGCUUGGACUUGUUUUUGAGAAAGAAUUUUUAGAAAACUGGGAGAGUAUGCUUAUCAAAAAAAAAAAAAAAAAAAUCCCUAAACGAGUUGUCGUUUAUAAGCUUCUUGCCCUAAGCCCAAACCGUAUGUCCUCUUUCUAAACCUGAGUUGUACGUUCUGUUCUUCAUUCUCUCUCUCUCUCUACUGUAAACCUCUUCCGAUUUGCUCUCUUCCGUCCCAUAUUGGUGAGUUUUUUUCUCUCAGACCUGGGAUUCGUCUUCAAGGAAUGGGUUACCGCUUUUCAGCUCUCAAGGGCUUUCUGGAUCUCGACACUUUUCAUAGCGAAAGGGACAGCGAAAUUGGGGGAUUGUGAUCUUUUGCAUCUACCACUCAUGCAUGCAGUGGUGACAACGUGGAAGGCUAGUAAGAAAAGGGUCAUCAGCGAAAUUGGGGAAUUUCCACAUUCGGAUUUUGAAGUGAGACGCGUCGCGCUACACCUGCGAGAAGUCGCUUAGGUCUCAAUUUAUGGAAUUUUUUUCCCAUCAUGAAAUUCAUUUUACGUUCCCAAAAUGUUGGGGGCGAUCUGUUCAUCUUUUCUACAACGAAGCUUUUUUAUUUACUUGUGGUAAGAAGUGGAAGGCCGAGGCAAUAAGAUCUAUCGGCGCGAGGUACAAGCGUACCUAUAAAAACGGCGUCUUCGAAUUCAUGGUGGCCGUGAUAUGUCUGACUUAAUGUGUGUUUUUGGUGGGAUAAGAUGAACAGAACAGUUGCGAACGGACCAGACGAUGUGAGCCGAUGUCAGAGGUUGCGAUGCGAAGCGUUGCGACACUACCAAGAGGAUUGAUGCGAGGUCAGGGAAAUUUCAGAGUCAUUGGUAUGAAUUCGAAGUACCCGAUGUGAUGAAUUAGAAGUAAAAUUGCAGAAACAGCAAUUUGGGAAAGGUUUCUCACCCUUCUCUCCGACCCUGGACGUGAUUUGAAGGUUUUUCCCUGCAGAAGCUCUUUCCAAGUGAGGAUCGAACUUUUUCCUCUCCUUCGACGGAGACCCUUGUUCGAGGAUCUCGCAUUUUUGGCUGCAAAACCCAGUUUUCGUCUCUGAUUUCUCAGCUUCUGAAGCACACGGGCAUUAAUUCUAAAGCACCUGCAAGAGCCUUAUUUAGUAGUCCGGGAUCAUUUAGUACUCAAAAGUUUAAGUUGCAGGUAUUGUUGUUUAUUUACCCAUUUAUAUUUAAUCACUUUCCCUUCUUGAUCGGAUGUGGGACAAAAGACCGUUUGUAACAACUAACCACUUUCAUUUAAAUUUUUUCUCAAACUUUUCUAUAUGAACGUAAAUUGUUUAGUUAUGUUAUGUUCGAUUUUCUAUUCUUUAAUUUGUGAACUUUGUAUUUAUUUAUAUUUGUAAUUCAUUGCA